AAUACAAAUGUGUUUUUAAGAAUCGCGUUAACGUCUGUUAUCUAACGUAUUAUUAUAUUCUGCUUUUAUCUCGUAAUUAAAUCGUUAAAUAUGAGAGUCAAUCCAGAACACUGGAAUCUUUUUUUACAAAUGGCUGAAAUAAAUCCGGAACUGAUAACUAAUAAGUUUAAUGGUGUGCAAGGUAAGGCCCAAGGAAAUGCUUUAUGGCAGACAGCAGCAGAAAAACUAAACUCAUUAGGAUAUGGACAGAAGUCAGUACUUGAAUGGCGAAAAGCUGUAACAGAUUGGAAGUCGAAAGUAAAAGUUAAAGCAUAAAAAAUUCGAUGUCACCAAGUGCAAACUGGUGGUGGUGGUAUUAUUUGCACUCCAUUAUCCACAAUUGAAGAAAAACUACUAAGCAUAAUAGGGAAAAAAGCUUUGGAGGGAAAUCCAGAAGUUGUAGAACUAGGACAGAAUUUGCAAAUUUCGACUCCAUGUACCUCGGUUUCGGAAACUACAACAGAAUCCACUUUUAUUAUUAACAAAGAUACUGAUCAUACAUAUAUAAGUAAGCAGUCAUUGAUAAUAAAUAAAGACAAAUUCAACAGAAAUCAAUUAGAUAAUAGUGACAAAGGAAAUAAUUCUAAACAUAAGCGUUGUAAAGUAAGUAGUAUACAUGGUAUGUCUAAAAACUUACAGAACAUGAGCCAACAAACAAUUCAUAUCCUUGAAAAGAUAGACGUAAAUUUGGAAAAAAUUUGUAGAAAUUUGGACAGAAUUGCAGACUCGACAGAAGACUAAAGACUUAACUAAAGACUUAACUAAAAUUUUGAAAGAGAAUAAAUAAUUAACUGUG